ACAGGUGAGUAACACGUGGGUAAUCUGCCCUGCACUCUGGGAUAAGCCUGGGAAACUGGGUCUAAUACUGGAUAUGACCUUUCUCCUUAUGGGGUUUGGUGGAAAGUUUUUCGGUGUAGGAUGAGCCCGCGGCCUAUCAGCUUGUUGGUGGGGUGAUGGCCUACCAAGGCGACGACGGGUAGCCGGCCUGAGAGGGUGAUCGGCCACAUUGGGACUGAGAUACGGCCCGGACUCCUACGGGAGGCAGCAGUGGGGAAUAUUGCACAAUGGGCGGAAGCCUGAUGCAGCGACGCCGCGUGAGGGAUGACGGCCUUCGGGUUGUAAACCUCUUUCAGCAGGGACGAAGCGUAAGUGACGGUACCUGCAGAAGAAGCACCGGCUAACUACGUGCCAGCAGCCGCGGUAAUACGUAGGGUGCGAGCGUUGUCCGGAAUUACUGGGCGUAAAGAGCUCGUAGGCGGUUUGUCACGUCGUCUGUGAAAUCCUAGGGCUUAACCCUGGACGUGCAGGCGAUACGGGCUGACUUGAGUACUACAGGGGAGACUGGAAUUUCUGGUGUAGCGGUGGAAUGCACAGA
rnacentral:rRNA from 1 species